AUUAGGUUAAAAAGAAAAUAAAAAAAGAAAAAGAAAUGAGAAAAAAGCUGACCUAUCCUUGAAAGAAAGGUGAAAUCAUUGAUUUUUCCUGCACUGUUCCACAGGAAAGUGCAUCACCGAGUGAUAGAUAUAUGCACCCUGGGGCUAGCAGCUGGAGGGCAAAAAGCACUUUUUACCCGUGAUUGACAAAUAAUACAUAAUGAGAAGAGAGGAGCAAUUCAAGUUUUAAAUUUCACUCUCUCUCAUUGGCUUUUCAGGGCAGCUGGGCACUGCUGUUCUCACUUGGUAACUUUUGAGGCGCUGCCAGGAAAGGGGACCUGAGUGACAAUUUUUCCAUUCCUCCUACAAACCCCCCAAAGCUUUAGUAAAUCUGUGUGGCCUGCUCUUUCAAAGAGGAUCCAGCUGCUAACAAUUCUACCAUUUUUCCUUAGAAGGAAAAUCCUGGGGGUCUGGAAAUGUAUUGCAUGGGUAUAAUGACCACAGUAGAGUAAGGCUGAGAUUUCAAAUCCCUGAAAGUGGCAUCUGUAGGCGGCAUUUGAUGCUAGCUGAUGAGUAAGCACUGGAGAGAGAGGAAUAGAAAAAAGAGCAAGAAGAAAGGUCGAGUCAGAACUCUGUCAUAAGUGAGAUUUAUGAAGUAGAGUUGUAGAUAGUCCAGAGUGUUACAUUUUUACAAAAUUAAGACAUGUUUGUUGUGAAUAGUUUAGGAAAUAUGUGAGAAAAAUCACCAAUGAAGUGAAAAACUAAAGAAAACUGAUGUUAACAUUUUUGGUCUCUUUUACAUUUUUCUCUUCAUUUCUGUACCAUAGUUCCCCUCUCACUCCUCCUCUACAGUUUGCUUUCUGCAGUUUCAAUUAUCACAGUCAACCGAGACCAGGAAAGAUUAAAUGGAAAAUUCCAGAAACCAAACAAUUCAUAAGUUUUAGAUCGCAAGCCAUUCUGGGUAGGGUGAUGAAAUCUCAAGCCUUCCUGCUCUGUCCCGUCCAGGACUAGGACGGAACCAGCUCUUUGUCCAGUGUAUCCACACUGUACGUACUUUCCCCGCCGUUAGUCACUGAAUAACCAUUUCGAUUAUUAGAUCAACUAUCGUGGUGUUAUGACAACCUCUUACCUGGUCUCUGCUUCUGCCUUGGUCUCCUUCACCUCCAAAAUAAUGGCUGGGCGGAGCCUUAAUAAAUAGAAGUGAGACCAUUCACUCUUCUGCAGUGAGGUUUCUAAUGACUUCCAUCUAAUUUAGAGUAAAAUCCAGAGUUUAGUUACCCGGGGUCUCUAAAUGGGAAUGAUUGCAUUUUGGGCAAAGCCUUUCUCCAUUGCACAAAAUGUCCUGCAGGUUGCAUGAUUUUUGACAUCAAUAAGUUUGAAAGGCAGGCAUCUAAAUGAAUCUAUUUUUAAAGGUCUGCAUCUCGUACUGAGUGCUAAUGUGCAUUUUAUUGCUCAUUUGCAAGGCCCAGUACAAAGAAGUACAACAUCCCCCGCCUACUGGGCUGCAACAAUCCAGUUCAUUUCAGACAUUUUGGCUCCUCUAAGUGACAGUAGCGUUCCAGAGUCACAACCAAAAAAAAUCCCCAGAUUUCCAAAUGCACUCUGAGGGGUACCUCCCUGCUCUCCACAUCCGAGAACCAUUUUGGCUUCCCUGUCAACACUCCUAACUCAUCUCUACCUAUUUCCCCUCGGCUUAUUCUGUCACAGCCUUGCUACUCACUGGGGAGACUAAGAGUUUGCAUUUGCUGUUAUCUCUACCUGGGACCUUCUUCCCCCAAGUCACCUUAGUUCUUGUAGGUCUUUAUACAAAUGUCAUCUUCUCAGUGAGCCAGACACUUCACAUCCCUUUUCUCUGCUUUAGCAUUUAUCACUAUUAAACAUACUAUCACUUUCUUAUUAAUCUUGGUCAUUGUGGUCUACUGUUCUCUCUCACUAGAAUGUAAACUAGAUGAGGGCAGAGGCUUGGUGUAUUUUGUUCAUAUCAAUGCUCAAUAUCUAGAGCAUUUCUAGCAUGUAGUAGGCAUGUUAUAAGUAAGGAUCUUUAGAGAUUUUAAAAAUAGAAUUAUUUUUAUAUGUUGUAGCUCAAGGGAAUUUACUAAGUUAAUGGUUCUUAAUCUUUUUUAUGUCAGAAAACUUUCUGAAAAUCCAAUGGAAAAUGCACAUCUGCGAUUACAAAGCAUACAAAGACAUGUAUUGUAUGUAGAUAUAGGUACAAAGAGAUAAAAUAUGGAUUAAGUAUUGAAAUAGAGAAAAUAUAGAUAUUGAGAUACAGGAGGCCCCUUGUCUACAAGGGAUAUGUGAAACCGUGGAUAGCAUGGAAAUCUAUAUAUAUAUGCUAUGUUUUUUUCCUGAUACAUGCAUACAUUCAUACUUUUCCACUCAAAAGAAGCACUUUAUGGCUUCUCUUUGGCACGGCUCUUCUCCUGUGCAUGUGAGGAAUCCAUCAAGUUUUUCACAGUAUUCUUGAAAACAAGGUGAGAAAACUAACAGUAGAGUUGGGUGGAUCAGUGACAGAUAAAUGACACUCUCAAAAAAUAUUGAGGGACCAGCUUUAAUCUGAAAACCAGGAGGGAGAAUAUGAAGCAAGAUCCUUUCUUAUUCUGUUUGUUUUCUAGUCCCCUGGAGAAAAGAUUAACUAUUAGUACAUACACAUCAAAUUUACAGGGACAGAAAUCAAGAAGGGAGAGUUCUAGAAUAAAAUCCCAAAAUACUUUGGCAGGUUGAAGUAAUGAGCCAAUAUAAACACUGAGAUUUAACAGGGAUAAAUAUGAAGCCCAACUGUGGAAGCUCACGCUGGCGAAGAUGAGCUGUAGCAGAACUUGGGGGUUCCAGUCGACUGCAAUCAUAAUGUGUCAACAGAGAUUUGUAGCUGCCAAAACAACUAAUUAGAGUUACAGUAAUGAAGUGAGUCAGCAUAGCUCUGUUAUAGUCUGUUGGACCAAACAAUACCUGUAAUGCUAUGUUUAGUUUGGGGUGCCAAGAAUUUUGAUGGGAUAUAAUGUACCAGGCAAUGACCUACCCAGGGAAUGAGGAUUCUACUAACCAGAAAUCAUAGGUGUUUCACCUGAAGAAAAUGGAAGACUUUGAAGUCAUGUGAUCAUAGUCUUUAAAUAUUAAAAAGGCUGUGACAUGUGAUUUUUGUUACUACAGAGGGAAAAUGAAGGACCAAUGCAGUAAAUUUACAGUAAAUCAUCUUUCCCCUACACACAAAGAAAGAAUACUUUUUUGCAAUACAAGCUGUGAAAGAUGAAAUGGACUUGCCCUCACAGGAGAGUUGGAGAUUUUAGAAAUCAACUUGAUAGGAAUAUCACAGAAAUAAAGCAAGUGUUGGAUUGCCCUUCUUUAGAUCCCUUGUAGCUAGGAAUUCUGUCACCGGCAUUGUAUUCUGCGCCCCCAUCCCUACUCCCGUGCUGGUGAGGCACUAGAACACUAGUGGGUAGUUUCACUGGCAAUGUCUCAAGGUGACACCCUGUGGUUUAAAUGACAGCUUUCUCUCGGUGUAUAGAAUUUCCCUGUAUUUUCAUUAAAAUGCCUGAAUGUAACACCGACUUAAAUUCUGCUUGAGGGUUUCCUACAUGAAGAGGGUGGGUAUUUUUUCAAAAAUUGUUGAGCGAGUUGUUUUCAUCAGGCCAUUGAAAUAGGUAUGAAGCACUGGUAAGAGGUCACAAGUCUUAGGGACUUUUUGAUGAAGAAACAAGGAUCUAUAUUUCUAGGAGGAAUUAUAAAUGUAAACAUUCAGCACCAACAGGUAUCACAUAAUCAGCCCAAUGUAAGGCAACUGUGAAUGGUGGGCUAUGGCACACCAGACAGGCUGUACCUUACUGAAAACAGGCAGGUAUUACCAAGGCUAGUCCAUUUCCCCAUUUUCAAGAAAAGCUAGAAAUUCAAAUGUUUACAUGAGGUCUUUUGAUUUUAAAUGCUGGCAAAAAAAAAAAAUAAAAAAAAAAAAAAAAAAAAAUCAAAUUAAAAAACAAAACCCCCCCCAAAAACAAACCCUGUGCUGUCUAAAGAAAUACAACUGUCUUUCAGAGAGUGUUACAGCGAUCGGUUUGUGAUAUCUGUUGUCAAAUGUGUUUCUGGAUUCUCUCCAAACUUCACUUCAUCUUACAAAGCAUCUCUGGUGUCCCAGAAAGUCAAUUCUUAAACUAAAUUCAACAAAUAUUUUUGAGCCUCUAAUAAGCGAAAAGUAGUUUGCUAGGGUAUUUGAAAAAUAUGAACAUGAAAAACAAUGAUCUUUGUUCUCAAAGUUUGCAGUUUUAUAGUCAGGUUAAUACAAACACCAAUACAACUAUAAUUACAACUAACAUGGAGUGUUGAGUGAUACAAAUGAAGUACUGGGAAGGGAAAUAUUAAAACCCUGGGGGAGUCAGGGCAAGGUGCGUUUGUGGGAGAUUGUCAUGAGUGACAGGUGAAGUGUGGAGACUUUCUAAGGGGGAAGGAAGAACCUGAGAAAAGGCACAGUGAUGGUAAAGUGAGAGGGAUUUGAGGAACCAGUGUUUUAAUAACUUACCUGAAGCAGAAGAGAGGCGUUGGGGAUUUACAUGAGAACACUUCCAUGGGAGGUUAGCAAUCAAUGGUAGGCCAAAGAGUUUUGACUUAACUCAAUAAGCUGCUUGAGAGAGGCAGCUGUGUAACCCUGAGCAAAUCUUUAAAAUUCAUUACAUGCCAUUUCCAUUACUUGUCAUAUGAGGCAUAACCCACUUGGAAAUGUGGUGUGAAACAUAAAUUAUAUCAGUAAAUCAAUUCUUGUGAACCUUGUAAGUUAGUUAUUGUUAGUGAUGGGCAAGCGCUGAAGGAUUUGGACGAGGGGAAGGAUGUCAUGGGAACUCUGCUUUUGGGGAAAUUAAUCUGGCACUUAUGCUUUGAAUGCAUGCAUGGUAAAAGGACAAGCAAAAAAGACCACUGGAAAGUUAACUCACUCGCAAUAUACAUAUUUUUGAAUGUGCUAUAAUACAUGUAUGUUCUUCUAAGUUGAAAAAGCACAAGAGGUUUGGUAAGGAGAAGUCCCCUCUCUUUGAAUGCCCCCCAACCAGCCAGCUGUCUGUCCCUGACACAAUCACAAUAACAGUUUUUAUGUUUUCUCCCAGAUAUCAUCUGCAUAUUUGUAAACACGCAUGUAUGCACUAUGUCAGUUUUGGAGCUCUUUCUAUUUCAGUUAGGAGGAGAGCUUCGGCUCAGACACUGUGAGCCCGAAUUCCAUUUUGAACUGACAAGGCGAGACCAGACUGCAGAACCUGUGGAAUGUGGGGGAGCAGCCUGGGAGGUCACCUGGGGCCUGUGGGAUUUCCAGCCUCAAAUACUGCACACAAGAGGACAUCCAAUCCAAUUUCGACCAAAGGCAUCUGAGGGGGAAUUUGCUGGGAAAUUCAACAAGUUUCCUGUCUUCUAAGAAUGAAAAUAAAUCGAAACUAAGAUCCAGUAAAAGGAAAUGACUUAUCACAGGAUAGUGAAAUGGCAGUAGGCUUCGGAGUCCGAAAAUAAAAUCGAAGGAUAUUUCCUGGCCCCACAAAUUGUAGGGGAGCAGGUCAUGGAACCCUCUGUAUCUUAUUUUAUCUUAAUCUCUAAAUGGGGGGUUAAUAAUUAUUAACAUCGUUGACAUUUCAGAAAUGAAUGUCAAAUGCCUGGAAAAUUUGAGAUGUUCAAUAAGUGAUAACUAUUCUUCUCCAAGGUCACAGCUGAUGAAUGGCAGACUGAAACUUGAACCCAGAACUUCUGAGUCCAAGUUCAUUGCUUACUCUUUCCUGACCUAAUGCUUAUUUCCAAAGGAGUGCCACUCCCUUGAUGAGGGCAUUCAGUAAACAUCUCUCAGGGACAGUAGUUUCCCAGGCACAUUAGAAUUCUUUUGAGGCAGGCAGGUAGGAGGGAUUUUGUUAUUUUUUCUUGCCUUGGGGAAAGGUUUCAUCAGUAAAGUAGCAAUAAAAACAUUUUCUCUAUUAGUGGAAAUGAUUAACACUCCUUUAGUUAGGCAAUAUUUUCCCACCCGGCCUCACACAAACCAAGCCACACAGAUGGGGCGAUCAGAAACCCUAAGAAAACAGCAACAAAUUGGCUUGGUGAGUGGAUGUGGUUGGAAAUCUUUCAUCUGGUUCGUCUCAACAGGUUGUGGAAGUUAUAUGGGUUUUGAAUGAAGUUGAAAAUCCAAGCAGAAUGUAUGAAUAUCAAGCCACAGGUAUCAAAGUUUGGAGAAUCUGAUGAAAAACGAACCAAUGUAAACGCAAACCUGAGGACAUUACACGCCUCCUUUCCUGAGAGCCAAUUUGGGGCAGGAAGAAACACUUAACUUGCUGCAGGAGAGGAAUAUGCAGCCUUUCUAAUUAGUUAUCACCUCGGUGUUUAUUUUUCACUGAAUCCCUGGGCUGGAGUGAUUAACAUACCUGUGGCUCAGAAAUCCAGGCAGGAAGGCGUGAACCUGGACUGAAAGCCGAUGCUGAAUGUGUCCGCACUGGCUGUCCCUCCAGAAUACAGCCCUGCCAUGAACAAAAGAGUUUUCUGAAGUGUAAGUGCUUCCACAGCCCGCCAACUCGCCCUGCCAAAUGUGCCCUUCAUGGACUGCUUGGCAAUGGUAGUUCCAGAUGGAAAGCGGAGGGAGGGUGGAUGAAUCAGUCCAGAAGUGAUGCACAUUGUCCACUGCCUUGGUCUCAGUCAAAAGACAUUGCCACUCCACCAAGUCCUGCUCCAGCUUGUUUGUAGAAGUAAGACUUUUUUCCAUUCACACAAACAUCUGAGACACAGUGUUGAGCUAUCUUGUUUCAGUCAGACCCAUGGGUGAAGCUGCUGGUGGGUGAGAUUGUGCAGAACAAAGAAGCAUCUCUUGUAAAUUCCAGAAUGGCAUAUCAAAAAACUUUUUUUCCUUACCUGGCAGCAGUGCUUCAGCCAUCUUCAAAGGGUCUAACCCUAUGGAAUCUUUUAGGCUGAGUAAACUGACACGUUUUUUUGAUUUGGUGAUUUGGCAAAGCAGCCACGGACCCUCUUAAAAAUCUUGGGAACUGUGUUUGGAAGCUGCUUUGUCGGGCUCUUUGUCUAAAGCAUCUAUCUGGCUAUUAAACUUCAGCCUCCCACAGCCCUUAAACAGAUCUGAAGUUGCUUUCGGAAUUUAGAGAAGGACGAUCCAAACUGAAAAUUUUACUUGUCACAUUUAAUUGUAAUUAAUGUUUAUUGUUCAUAGUACAAUAUGUGACCACUUCAGUUACAAAUACUUGUGAACAGGCCAUCACAUGGAUGACUUAUAGCACAGUGUUUAGUUCAGAAGCGUAAAUAUUCUGAGAAAAAAAAAAAAGUAGUUAGGCCAUUUAUUAGUCUCUAGGUAAAAAAAAAACAUCAUGCUGAAAGAGUUAGUGGGUAAUCUUGAAUCGUUUUAUAAAAGGGAAUGGAUAAUAGCAGGUUUAAACUUAAAAUGUUGAUUGAGAGCACAGAGUCGGGGGAGGAUUCUUGAGAGGCAGGGUCCUGGGGAAAUACUCCGGGCAGCACAGGGACCCCUAACUCUCUCUUCCUCACAGCCAUGAGAGAGGGAGCAUACAAGGAGGGAAUUCUCUUUAGACUAAGAAAAUACAUGGACUUCUAUUUCUAGAGUUAAACAGGCAACAAGUAAGGUAAAGUGCUUGCCAACGCAAUGAAAAUAUGCAGAUAAUUAAAGGCUCUUGGUAACAGAGCAGUGUCUUUCAUGCUGAGCGUGGUAGCACCAAGGGACUCACCAAACUGCAAACUCUGGCUGGAGUUGACAUCAAAAUCCUGUUUUGAACAUAAAAGCAGGUGCAACACAAGUUGAAAACAGCUUUUAUUUAGAUAAAUACAAAAACGGAAUGAACAGAGUUAGAUACAUAACCAUCACUGUCUCCGAGGCACUGCUGUGGUGCGCUGGCAAGCAGAGGGCUUUGGGAGGACCUGCAUGCUCCCUGCUGCCCCGUUCCAUUACUUAGCUAAGGAGUUCUGGACUCGAAGCAGAGAAUAUGUUCAUGGUUUCCUAGGUGAUUUUAAAUAGCACUUAGACUGUGCUUUUCAGUUACAUUAAUGUGACUAUGUGUUCAUUUUUAAGAUAGCAGGUUGAGAACAUGCUUUAGGUUCCCACUCUGUAUUAUUCAGGGACUAGAAAAAAAACAAACGUAAUCCAUUCUAGGUAUUUAAAUGAAAGGAAUUUAAUACAGGAGAUUGGUUACCACAUGAUGGAAAUGUGGAAAAGGGAAACAGGAAACAGAGAGAAAUAAAAGAUAUUAAAAAACAGGAAGCUACUGUCUCUAAGCUUUGGUAACAAGCUCAGAAGGUAGGGCCACUCAGCUGUGGGUCGAGCCUUGGCCUGGGAUCCUAAGAAGCCAUUGCCAGAGAUGCCAAGAAAAACAGAGAGAAGGGGGAGAAACACCAUGGCUUUCCCCUCCUCCAAUUUUCCAAUGUUUCUCCAGCGUCUCUCAUUAGCGAACAGACCCAGAAGAAGACAGAGGGGCCUAGGCACUGUCAGUCCCUGCAAUAUGAAGCCGAGAGGUAAAAAAAGAGCAACUGACACUCAACCUACCUUCACUGGACCUCCAAAGCUACAUGUACAACAUGCAUAAAUAUAUAACUACUCUUGAACUCAGAAGACCAGAAUCGCGGAUGAAUCCAUGAAUGUUGGAAAAUAGAUGGAAUCCAAUUGAAUAGAGAACUUAUGGGUCAGGAUGUGUGCAGGGGAGAACCAAUGGUGAGUUGCAGACACAGUGGAGAAAGUACUUAGGGCCUGGGCAUUGGGUAGGGUCAUUAUUUGAAGUUCAGUAGUAAGGAGUAAGAAUGCAUGUUGCAUUCUGUCCUUACCUUGGAUCACAAAACCUAAGCAGCAAGUCUGCGUCCAAUUGCAAACAACGAAAGUGGGCACCCUAAUGAAAAGGGAUCACCCAAAAUCAUGAAAACAGCCACUUUCCGGUGACAUCUCUUGCCACGCAUGCUUUUUUGCUAAAAACAGUGUGGUGUGCAAGCUGCAGCAGCAAUUCCCACUCUCUUCCAAAGUAACUAUACAAAUAGAUGCCCCAUGACGAUCUAAUAAGGACUUUCAGUAGUAAAGAUGAGUGCACAAUCUAAAAGAUCAUACGCUUAAGGAAAGCCAACAUCAUAAAGGGAAGCAGUAUAUUCAAUACCAAAUGACACUGAGUUAGCAGAGAAGCCAAGAAAGAAUUCUAAAAUAUAUAACAUUAAUAUUAUGAAUAAGGAAGGCUAUUAUGUCCACAAAAUUAGUAUAGGUAGCUUUGGAACAACCAGAGAGAUAAAUCCAAUGUAUCAUUACUUAUAAUGAAUAUUAAGGAGGGAGAAUGGAAAAGAGGUUCACUUUGGCUAGGAUGUAAAUUUAGUUCACAAUUUUCAGUAACUACUCUUUUAUUAAAACCAAAAAUUUUAAGUUUAAAUCUUGGCUUUUCUUUCAUGAGACAAACUAAAAGCAUUUCUAUAGUUAGCUACGGGAACCAGGUUGAGUAGCCCAAAAGGAAAUAUAACUCCCGCAAUUUUGGUUCAAGCAAUCUAUAUAUAUAAAAGCCUAAGCGACCAUUAGGACUGGGCGACCAGAUGACCAGCCGGUAGCUAUG